UGGGGAAUUUUGGACAAUGGGCGAAAGCCUGAUCCAGCAAUGCCGCGUGUGUGAAGAAGGCCUUCGGGUUGUAAAGCACUUUUGUCCGGAAAGAAAUCCUCUGGGUUAAUACCUCGGGGGGAUGACGGUACCGGAAGAAUAAGCACCGGCUAACUACGUGCCAGCAGCCGCGGUAAUACGUAGGGUGCAAGCGUUAAUCGGAAUUACUGGGCGUAAAGCGUGCGCAGGCGGUUUUGUAAGACGGAUGUGAAAUCCCCGGGCUUAACCUGGGAACUGCAUUCGUGACUGCAAGGCUAGAGUAUGGCAGAGGGGGGUAGAAUUCCACGUGUGAGCAGUGAAAUGCGUAGAGAUGUGGAGGAAUACCGAUGGCGAAGGCAGCCCCCUGGGCCAAUACUGACGCUCAUGCACGAAAGCGU
rnacentral:rRNA from 1 species